rnacentral:rRNA from 1 species
GAUCUGGCUCAGGGUGAACGCUAGCUACAGGCUUAACACAUGCAAGUCGAGGGGCAGCAUCAUCAAAGCUUGCUUUGAUGGAUGGCGACCGGCGCACGGGUGAGUAACACGUAUCCAACCUGCCGACAACUCUGGGAUAGCCUUUCGAAAGAAAGAUUAAUACCGGAUGGCAUAGUCUUCCCGCAUGGGAUGAUUAUUAAAGAAUUUCGGUUGUCGAGUGGGGAUGCGUUCCA